AGGCUGUGGCAUUUGGAGAAAUGGGC
rnacentral:piRNA from 1 species